rnacentral:rRNA from 1 species
GAUGAACGCUGGCGGCGUGCCUAAUACAUGCAAGUCGAGCGAACAGACGAGGAGCUUGCUCCUCUGACGUUAGCGGCGGACGGGUGAGUAACACGUGGAUAACCUACCUAUAAGACUGGGAUAACUUCGGGAAACCGGAGCUAAUACCGGAUAAUAUAUUUAACCGCAUGGUUCAAUAGUGAAAGACGGUUCUUCUGUCACUUAUAGAUGGCUCCGCGCCGCAUUAGCUAGUUGGUAAGGUAACGGCUUACCAAGGCAACGAUGCGUAGCCGACCUGAGAGGGUGAUCGGCCACACUGGAACGGAGACACGGUCCAGACGCCUACGGGAGGCAGCAGUAGGGAAUCGUCCGCAAUGGGCGGAAGUCUGACGGAGCAACGCCGCGUGAGAUAUGAAGGUCUUCGGAGCGUAAAACUCUGUUAUGAGGGAAGAACAAAUGUGUAAGUAACUAUGCACGUCUUGACGGUACCUAAUCAGAAAGCCACGGCUAACUACGUG